AUAUUAUUUGAAACAAAUAUUAAGUCCUUUGAAGCAUUACAGAUUGAUUGGGAGGAGAUAUUAAUUUGAUCUUUUCUCUGCCCCAGUUGAAUAUGACCUGUUUUCAUUCAUCAUUACUCGUUCUGGACAACUGAUUUUUAUUCAGUACUCCCUUGCUUUUUUCCUAGCCACUUCCAUUAGAAAGUUACCGCCUGCUGGGUUCAUUCCCUUUUGUAUUGCAGAAGUAACGUUUUUGCUUUAGAAACACGGUUUAAAUUGUGCUGAGAUAUUAAUAAGAGAAGCAAUGUUUUUUUGUUAUGUGUAGUCUUACUCCUCCACACCUUUUUAUUUCAUAAACAGCUUGUAGACAGCGAUAAAAAAUAGCCCAGUUGCGUGCAUUUAGUUACAGUAAUAUCAAUCCAAAUGUGCUGGAAAGUCUCAUAGAAUAUUCUCCUACCUUUCCCUCCAUGCAGCAAAGCUUUCAACCGUAGAAGUCUAUUUUUACCUAGUGGUUAAUAGUAAUGGUAGUUAGAGACCUGGUUUCACUUCCCUCAUCUUUUUUACAUUUGCUAACAUUAAGAUCCUAUAGAAGGAAACGUUUCUGGGGCCAAUGAAAUGAACAGCUAGAGAAACUGCCCUCAUUCACCAUAAACCUACUGAAAUUGUUUAGCGGGUGCAGUAGGAAGGGCAGUAUAGAUGGUGGCUGGGCUGGAAAUGGACUGCUGUCAAUCACAAAUUUGUGCAAGACAAAUGUAUAGUAUUGCUAGAACAAAAUUAAUGUAUGAUUACUUUGAAGCAGAAGGAAUAAUUAUUCCCUUAUUUUGUCAAAACCAUCACUUUGUCAGAUAAUACCCUAACAAGACAAUUUGAUCAAAAAUAUUGUAAGUCAGUAGUAGAAAGCUGAAUUUAUUCACUGUUCCAUUUUCCUGUGCCACAAAGCAGGCGUUAUCCAUACAUACUUCUGAUUCUGUAAAGCAAGGAAGAAAAGAUCAAUGUCUUAUCUCUGUUCUGACACUUAACUUCGAGACUGAGCUUCUCUGUCCCUUAGCACCAUGGACUCUAACAGAGAUAAUCUGUCAUUUGCUUAUAUUCAGCAUACAUGUACUCUUGCUUCCGUGGGCUAACACAACCUUAAAUGACAGUGAUGGCAAGUCCAGGCAGGAGCUGAUCAGCUAGUGUACAGUGAUGUCUGACUGUGGGAUCUUCACGGCAUGCAAACCAUUCAUUAACUGGAGAAAAAAAUGCUACACUGAAAUUUCUACUGGUUUGGGACAGAGAACUGCUGAACUCAAGAUUGAUAGGGAACUGUGCAGCAGAUUGAAGUGGAGCUCAGUGUGGCUGUCUGGAACCAGAUGCAUCAUACUCGGCAAGUUACUGGGCAAGCGAUAAAUGAAAAUUCAAUCUAGAUAUUUCCAUUUAGUUAUUGUAACAAAUAAAUGUCUCAAUUGCAAAAUAGUUGAAGCUUCAAAACAGGGAAUGCUUUCCCCAUAUCUGUAGGUGUAAGAAACAUGAGUGGAAUUUGUAUUUCUGUUCCUUAGGAUUCUGCUUUGUUUGAAAGGUCUAUAGGCACGUUUAUCUGGGAGAAGUCUGAGACUGAGCAGAGCACACAGAUCCUUUCAUGCUUUCCUGAAGAGCAGUCAUGAAACUCGUUUAUCUAAUACUGGUGGUAUGAAUAUGAGUCUGCAUGACAGGACUUCCGACACAAAUGUUUUCUAGAAAUUAAAUUCUCUAGCCCUGAUCUAUUGGUAGACUGCUCACGUGUUUUUGGCCUCUUAGGUGAACAGCAGUUGCCAAUUCCAGGCUGCUCCAUGCAGUGCUUCAUUUCUACACAGCAGCUGCAGGCAAGACAUCUUUGCACAAAACAUCAGGAUUUUGUCCCAUGGAUUUUUACAAACUUAAGUAUUUAUUGUACAAGUUUGCUUGCUUCUAAAUUAGUAGGAGAACACUAAUGCUAACCACCUUGGGUAGUUAGCGUAAAUGGCGGAGAAUGUUUCUUUUGUGCAUCCCGUUUUGCGAAGCUGCCUGAUUAUGGUGAAGGCUGAAUGUGUUUAUUAGGGCUUAUUUUUCAUUUGAUGUUCCACUGUUUCAAGGAGCAUUUGGCAGGUUCCAAAUAAGUCAGGAAGGAUAUACAUACUGCCUCAUUAAAAAAAAAACAAGUGAUUUUUUUCUUCCUGUAGCUACCCUGAGGGCAUUAUGCUACAUGCUAAGUUUCUUCCUCAAACUAGUUAAACAGUCAAGCAGGUUUAAACAUAAAAACCACAAACAGUAUGUCACAAGUUAGCAAAAAGCAUAGCCCUGAAUUUGACUUCUUAUUAUGCUUCUGAGGAUCUACGUCUGGCCCAGCUAUUCAAACAGGAACAUUUCUCAGCGUGCCCUUCUGGAUGAAGUGAUUUAAAUGUCGCACACCUGAAAAACAAAGCAUCGAAGGGACCCUUCUGCACUUAGUUACACAUUCAUUAUUCCUGAACCUGGUAGUACCUGUUCAGUUUCCUUUUAGUAAUUAGGGCAUUCCACACUUCCCCAGGACUAAUGAUGUGAAGCUGUAUUUAGCUGCAAAAUUUUGGCCCUUCACCAAUAGAGGAAUAAUAAUGCACAACACUUGGAGGCAGGAAUUGUGACUCAGUGACUGAAAAUGAACAACUACUCAUUUCAACAAAUGAUAUGGUGAUUCAGAUGUAGAAAAGAGUACGUAUGUUUUAUACUAACUGUGAUGUGAUGUUCUGUAAACAUUUUAAGGCUGACCUUGGUAUUUUUACGCUGCCUAGCAUAGCAGGAUCCUGGUUGUUCUUAUGUAUUUCUUCAGUACAAUGAACAAUACAAAUUUUGUUGUGAGUAGGUAUCAAGAAGGCACACCAAUUGAAGAGGAAGAGUCAUCUGUGGGUUGGAAAUGGAAAUAUCCACUACAUCACUUUAGAGUGGGGUCUUAAAGGCUUUAUGAUGGUUAGGCACAAGGCUGUUCUUGAGUAUUUACUCAGAAAGCCUUUAGGUGCCUGACUCCCUUGGUUGAGUUGAAACUUUUAGCUGUAAUCUAAGCUCAGCUACUGCUAAAAAAAGAUCUCUGGCAGAUUUUUCUAAUUGUUUCUUCGUUCAAAAUAAAAUUACAAAGAUAGAAGUGUAAAUAGUUCAUUUGGAGAUAAUUCUGCAGACAUAGAAUCCAUGACUGUGUAUUUCCAUUCGCUUAUUUACCCUGGGAACCCAACAACUUUGGCCUUAGAUAAGUGACACCAUGGUGAUGGUACAGCCUUUCAGUUGCUCCAACAGAGGAUUCUCAAAAACAGAAGGGAGGUGUUAAUACUGAAAAAGGAAUUAGUGGCAGCAUAUGUUUCAAAAUACUCUUUUGCAUAUAAACAAGCAUUUCAGAUAUUUUUGUUUGUUUGUUUGUUUUUGCCAUUUUAACAGUAAUAUGGAAGGUGUCUUACAGAAGUAUAAGUGAUUUGCGAAGACAUGGAGAAAUCAAUGACAUUCUAACUUUUGCAUUCUUUUUGAAACCUCCCAAAUCCAGCCGAACAAAUGUUGAAAUUUAUCUCUGUGAAUCAGACAUAGCUGCAGAGGGCUAAUGUUUGGUUGUUGAUGAUAAGUACCUACUUCUCAUCUUGAUAAUGAGCUAAUUCUCAUCUCAGUAGCAUAGAACUGCUGUCGGUGGGGCUGUGGUGGCAAAUACUUCAGUACAUGUUUACCUCAGUCUGGCAAUUUACCCAAGUGCAGCUUGCCCACAUCAAGGCUGGAAUAAUCAGGGUUUUGCUCUUCAUGAUAUCAAACUCACUGCAUCAGUGCAGGUUCUGAUGUGCCUCAUUUGUUGCACUCAAGCUUCCAGCUUUGGGCAGACCUACAAGGCAUUGCAGGGAGCCUGAGAGGUUGGUGUUUAGAUUAACCCGAAGCGGCUGAAAACUGUGUUUUGCUACCGUAACAUAUUGCAUAAACACCAUCGCUGACUUUGGGUGCUAACCAGAACUUUUUUGCAGGGGAAAAAAAAAAAAAAAAGAAAGAAAAAAA
ensembl:lncRNA